AGGGUUUGAUCCUGGCUCAGAACGUACGCUGGCGGCACGCCUAACACAUGCAAGUCGAACGAAGUAGCAAUACUUAGUGGCAGACGGGUGAGUAACAUGUGGGUAUCUGCCCUUUGGCCUGGAAUAACACGAGGAAACUUGUGCUAAUACCGGAUAAGUCUUUACGGAGAAAGCUUUAUGCACCAUUGGAUGAGCCCGCACUUGAUUAGUUUGUUGGUGGGGUAAUGGCCUACCAAGACUGUGAUCAAUAGCUGAUUUGAGAGGAUGAUCAGCCACAUUGGGACUGAGACACGGCCCAAACUCCUACGGGAGGCAGCAGUGGGGAAUCUUGCACAAUGGAGGAAACUCUGAUGCAGCGAUGCCGCGUGAGUGAAGAAGGCCCUUGGGUUGUAAAGCUCUUUCGUCGGGGAAGAAAAUGACUGUACCCGAAUAAGAAGGUCCGGCUAACUUCGUGCCAGCAGCCGCGGUAAUACGAAGGGACCUAGCGUAGUUCGGAAUUACUGGGCUUAAAGAGUUCGUAGGUGGUUGAAAAAGUUAGUGGUGAAAUCCCAGAGCUUAACUCUGGAACUGCCAUUAAAACUUUUCAGCUAGAGUAUGAUAGAGGAAAGCAGAAUUUCUAGUGUAGAGGUGAAAUUCGUAGAUAUUAGAAAGAAUACCAAUUGCGAAGGCAGCUUUCUGGAUCAUUACUGACACUGAGGAACGAAAGCAUGGGUAGCGAAGAGGAUUAGAUACCCUCGUAGUCCAUGCCGUAAACGAUGUGUGUUAGACGUUGGAAAUUUAUUUUCAGUGUCGCAGCGAAAGCGAUAAACACACCGCCUGGGGAGUACGACCGCAAGGUUAAAACUCAAAUGAAUUGACGGGGACCCGCACAAGUAGUGGAGCAUGUGGUUUAAUUCGAAGAUACGCGCAGAACCUUACCAACACUUGACAUGUUCGUCGCGACUCUAAGAGAUUAGAGUUUUCGGUUCGGCCGGACGAAACACAGGUGCUGCAUGGCUGUCGUCAGCUCGUGUCGUGAGAUGUUGGGUUAAGUCCCGCAACGAGCGCAACCCUCACUUUUAGUUGCCAUCAUUAAGUUGGGCACUCUGAAAGAACUGCCAGUGAUAAGCUGGAGGAAGGUGGGGAUGACGUCAAGUCCUCAUGGCCCUUACGUGUUGGGCUACACACGUGCUACAAUGGUAUCUACAACAGGAAGCAAGACUGCGAGGUCAAGCAAAUCCUUAAAAGAUACCUCAGUUCGGAUUGCACUCUGCAACUCGAGUGCAUGAAGCUGGAAUUACUAGUAAUCGUGGAUCAGCGUGCCACGGUGAAUGCGUUCCCGGGUCUUGUACACACCGCCCGUCACACCAUGGGAGUGGGUUUUGCCAGAAG
rnacentral:rRNA from 1 species